UGUACAUUAUAUUCAUGUUCUUAGAGGAACAUGAUUCUUUUCAACCAAAAAAUUAAAUAAACAACUUAGAAAAAUAUUUAACAAACAAAUACUGUUUAAUCAUAUUAUAAAAUUGUGAUCAUAAUUAACGGAAUUCUUAAGUGUUUAAAUUGUGAACUAAAUGUUAAUUUUUUGUUAUUUUAUUUAUCAGUUAUUACUUAAUACUGCCACUGAAGUUAUUCUAAGAACAAAGACAAAUUAUCAAGCUUUCAAAAAGUAAGAAAAAAAGUCAAUUGUUACUAACAAUGAAAACAGUGGUAUUUCACUACCUUACUUAUUGAAAACCCUGUAAAAUAUAGUCCACUGUAAUGGAUACGUUCCACAUCAAACUCAUACUUUUAAAACAAAUCGAAUUUGGUUUGUUCAUUACUACAUAAAAGUUUAUUAAUAAAAUUUUAUGUAGUGAUGUUCGAACUGUUUGAUUUUUAAAUCGAACCGAACCGAAUUUGAGGUGUUUGGAUUAAUUUGAAAAUUGAACUUGUAUAGCAAAUUAUUACGCUGAAUUCAUUGAAAAGUCAGGAAACGACAUUAAUUACAUGAAAAAUUUGAAUCAAAUAUUUCUGGAUUUAUCAAAGUAAAACGUGCACAAUUACCUAUAUAAGUGCAGAAUACAAAACUCGGAAGUAAAAUGCAAACUAAAAUUCGAGAGAAGAUUGUUCUAAGUGAUCAAACAUUAAGAUUUCUAAGUCUUUAUCGUAAUUUUAACCCUUUCAAUCUGGAUGUAAUUCGUAGUUUCAAUUUAUACCAAUUUCUCUAUGCUCUAUUAUUGCUAGUUGAAUUUAUUGUAGUCAAUUGCUAUGUGUUCAUUGGUUUUUACUAUGUGAUAAACGAUUUUUUUUCAGUUAUGCAAUUAUGUAUAAAAGUAAUGUGCUCUAUUCAAAUAUUUGUCAAUACUUAUAGACUUUCCACAAAAUAUGAUGAAUUAAGAAAAUUAUUCGAUGCAACGAGUGGCGAUUUCUUGUCUUCUAGUCAUAAAGGAAAAUAUAUAUUUGAACGCUACAAAUCUGUUUGUACUAAAAUAACAAACAUAUAUAUUUUUAUAAAUAUUUCGGGGGGGUUAGUUUGGAUACUUAAUCCAUUGUUUGUAAAAAAAUAUCCUUUAAAAAAAAGAGAUGGCAGUCUGGUAAUUUAUCGAAACAAUGUCGUAAAUUCACUUUUAAGUUUUAUACCAAUUUCGAUUUAUGAUCAAAUUUACCCUAUUGUAUUUGUAUAUGAAGCUAUUGAAUUAAUACAUAUUAUUUUUGAUUUAAUUAUCUACAAUACAAUAGUUAUGAAAUUUUGUUGGAUGUUAUCUGCUCAAUUGAAUAUUAUUGCCUUUAGAUGCAAAUCGUUUGAAUGCAAGAAUAAUGAAUUUGGACAGAGAAAUGAUAUUAAUUACACGAUUAAUUUGAAACAAUUACUUUCGGACCAUACAAAGUUAAAUGUUUCAAUUAAGAAAUUUUAUGAAAUAAUGAAACCGAUGACAAUGUAUAGCUUUGGAUAUAGUUUCAAUGUGUUUAUUGGUCUAACAUAUAUGUUUAUUCUGAAUUAUUUCAAAAAUGACCGUGUUUUGUCAGUUAUGUCAGUGAAAUUAUUUUUUGCAGCAUUAAUUGACUUAAACUCUUUAUUUAUCAUGUGCUAUUUUUACAGUUAUCUUGAAGCCAAGCAAGAGAGCAUAAUCAAAUAAAUGUAGUACAGUUUGCUAUGUAUAGUGUUGAUUGGACUGCGAAAAGUAUAAAAUUUAAAAAAAUGCUUUUAUUGGCUAUGAGCUUAAAUACUACAAACAAAUUAAAAAUGGACAUUACUCCACAAAAAACGAUAAAUCUAGAAGUAUUUGCCUCGGCUAUGCGUGUGUCAUAUUCAAUAGUUUCACUCUUAGCAAAAAAAACAAAUUUGAAAUGAGUUGAUUGGAGAAAAAAAUGUAUUUAGAAGCUUUUUGUAUUUUUUAUUAUGUAUUAAGUUUAUUUAUGUUGAAAUUUAUAUUAAAUUAAGACAAAACCUAACUAG